rnacentral:rRNA from 1 species
UACGUAGGGGGCGAGCGUUAUCCAGAUUUACUGGGCGUAAAGCGCGUGUAGGCGGCUGGUUAGGUGUGAUGUGAAAUCCUCGGGCUCAACCCGAGAACUGCAUUGCAAACCGGCCUGGCUAGAGUGCAGGAGAGGGAAGCGGAAUUCCAGGUGUAGCGGUGAAAUGCGUAGAUAUCAGGAGGAACACCGGUGGUGUAGACGGCUUUCUGGACCGUAACUGACGCUGAGACACUAAAGCGUGGGUAGCAAACAGG